rnacentral:rRNA from 1 species
UGAACCAGCCAAGUAGCGUGCAGGAUGACGGCCCUAUGGGUUGUAAACUGCUUUUAUAAGGGAAUAAAGUGAGUCUCGUGAGACUUUUUGCAUGUACCUUAUGAAUAAGGACCGGCUAAUCCCGUGCCAGCAGCCGCGGUAAUACGGAAGGUCCGGGCGUUAUCCGGAUUUAUUGGGUUUAAAGGGAGCGUAGGCCGGAGAUUAAGCGUGUUGUGAAAUGUAGACGCUCAACGUCUGCACUGCAGCGCGAACUGGUUUCCUUGAGUACGCACAAAGUGGGCGGAAUUCGUGGUGUAGCGGUGAAAUGCUUAGAUAUCACGAAGAACUCCGAUUGCGAAGGCAGCUCACUGGGGCGCAACUGACGCUGAAGCUCGAAAGCGCGGGUAUCGAACAGGAUUAGAUACCCUGGUAGUCCGCGCGGUAAACGAUGGAUGCCCGCUGUUGGGUCAACUGGUUCAGCGGCCAAGCGAAAGCAUUAAGCAUCCCACCUGGGGAGUACGCCGGCAACGGUGCAACUCAAAUGAAUUGACGGA